UUCCAAGGGUUGAACCGGCCCCGAUAACGUGAUAUUUAGCCACAGGAAUACGACUUUUACCAGGAAGAACCCCACCAGAAAAGGUGUAUUUUGCCUUCCGGAACUCGGUUUUUACCGGGGAUCGCACCUGAAAAGCGAUUGGGCAAGUUUUGAGUAACUGAACGGCUCUUGCUUUGAAAACUUAGUUCAUUUAACAGUGCGUCAUGCUUCUGUACAGUAAUCCGGCACCGGUCAUAACAACAUCGAAGAUGUGCCUCUUUCUGCUAAAGUUAACGUUAGUUAUUUUCUCUCUCAUCGGCGCCCGUGCAGGUGAGAUGACGCCAGCGCCGACACAAGAGUUUCGUCGAUACUUUCCCCAGUGGGUUAACGCCAGUCAAGUUCAAGUCAGCUGUAACGACUACCUGAUUGCUCAGCACUGUGAUCCUGAUCAGGGCUGUCGAAACAUGAGUAAUCCCGGAGUCUCGCUGGAAAAGGACAGAAAAAGAGUGUGCCUAACCAUCACCAACUGCUCCUAUGAUUCACGGUCCUGCAAAGCACUGAGUUACAUCGAUGGAAAAGAAUCUGGGGUGAAUUUUACUGUGAACGUGACGUGCAACCGUGAGUAAUAUAAAGAUUCUUCAAUUUC